AGAAGCAGCGGAUUGUGCGGAAGCUGGCAUUUGCGAUCUGUCGCAAAACGGGUCUCAAACACUGACGUCUGGCCAUCAUAAAAAAAUGGUCAGACAUCAAGCGCAGACAUCCCCGGUUUAUAAAAAGAAUCCGGGACGAAAAAUGCCCAGACUCGCUGAAAAUUGUUUUUGUCUGCAACGGGUGUGGGUCUCUUACCUUGCAAGACUCCAGAGCAAGCCAAUGUAUACUGCGAUAUAUGCCUCUAAUUAUCAGCAUCUGUAAUGAGAAUUUUCUAAUAUGCAACUAGCAUUGAGAGGGUUAAAUGGGAAUGUGGCUGAAAGUUAAUGCAGAUACCCAUUUCUUCUAGGUGGUGGUUUAUUUUGCUCCUAAUAUUUAUAUGAGGCCGGGGGAGCAUACUGAGAUAUAUGAAGUACUACCUUGAUUUGAUAUCGAUCAUCCCAUAGACGUGUGCCAUCUGGUUAUCUUGUGAUUUACAUGUCAAGUGGUCCUACAUACGUACUCUGUAUACUCUAUAUAGCCCGAACUCAAUGUAUGACUCUUUUCAUAUAUAUAUAUAACAAUUUCUUCAGGACUUACUGUAAUGUAUAUAUACUUAUAUCUUUUGCACUUAAUCCUAUUGUUAAAAGUGCUAUAAUCCUGCUCUUGUUGAUCAUUAUAUUGUAGAUAAAACCGCAGAUGAAGGUCCUGUGUGACCGAAACGUCCGGUUUAUGUUCAAAACCCUAA